CCUACGGGUGGCAGCAGUGGGGAAUAUUGGACAAUGGGGGGAACCCUGAUCCAGCCAUGCCGCGUGUGUGAAGAAGGCCCUCGGGUUGUAAAGCACUUUCAGUGAGGAAGAACGCCUGGUGGUUAAUACCCAUCAGGAAAGACAUCACUCACAGAAGAAGCACCGGCUAACUCCGUGCCAGCAGCCGCGGUAAUACGGAGGGUGCGAGCGUUAAUCGGAAUUACUGGGCGUAAAGCGCGCGUAGGUGGCUUGAUAAGCCGGUUGUGAAAGCCCCGGGCUCAACCUGGGAACGGCAUCCGGAACUGUCAAGCUAGAGUGCAGGAGAGGAAGGUAGAAUUCCCGGUGUAGCGGUGAAAUGCGUAGUGAUCGGGAGGAAUACCAGUGGCGAAGGCGGCCUUCUGGACUGACACUGACACUGAGGUGCGAAAGCGUGGGUAGCAAACAGGAUUAGAUACCCUUGUAGUC
rnacentral:rRNA from 1 species